GAUGAACGCUAGCGGCAGGCCUAACACAUGCAAGUCGAGGGAGAAGCCCUUCGGGGCAGAAACCGGCGCACGGGUGCGUAACGCGUAUGCAACCUACCUUUCACAGGGGGAUAGCCCGAAGAAAUUUGGAUUAAUACCCCAUAAUAUUAUUGGAUGGCAUCAUUUGAUAAUUAAAAUUACGAUGGUGAAAGAUGGGCAUGCGUCCUAUUAGCUAGUUGGAGUGGUAACGGCACCCCAAGGCUACGAUAGGUAGGGGUCCUGAGAGGGAGAUCCCCCACACUGGUACUGAGACAGGGACCAGACUCCUACGGGAGGCAGCAGUGAGGAAUAUUGGUCAAUGGUCGGAAGACUGAACCAGCCAUGCCGCGUGCAGGAAGAAUGCCUUAUGGGUUGUAAACUGCUUUUAUAUGGGAAGAAUAAGGAGUACGCGUACUUUGAUGAACGGUAACCAUAUGAAUAAAGCCUCGGCA
rnacentral:rRNA from 1 species